UACAGGAAGUCGUAAAAGCGGGCGUGGCUUGUUUGGGUUCUUAGCUUUCCGAAGAUGAAAAGAGAUGUUUAGUCAACGAUAAGACAUGUACUGCCCAUAAAAAUCAAGAAGAGGAUAAAAUACCAGUAGGAGCCUACCAAACGUUUCUUGCCAACCUCCAAUAAAAAAAAUCAAGAAGCACAAAGAGAUGACAACCAAGUCGUGCCUACCUCCACCCCCACCUCCGCCCCCACUUCCGCCUCCAUCCUGUGGGACCGGGCCAUCUAGAGACUCUUCUCCACCGCAACCUCAACAUGCCGCUAGGCCUUUUAUAUGUGAUGCAAGGUGUCCAAUCCAAGAGACAGGCGAUCAGGGCGACAAUUCACAUAACUUCCAGAACACUAGUGCUCCACCCCAGCACACAGACAACAGCACACCUCCACCUCCACCUCUACAUGGAGAGGAGGACACAGAGACCAAUGAGGGGAAGAAGCAACACCCAGUCCAGGAAACUGACCCCCCACCCCAGGCGUAUGAGAACCCGCAGCCUUCUGAGACUGCAAAUCCUGAAGGAAAUGUCAGUGUGAUGGAUGAAGAUGAUGACAUUCAGCGUUCAAGAAGUGCUUAAGUUAUGUUCAGAAUAUAUACUGUGUUCAGUUGAAAUGAUUGAACAUUAUGCCCAUAGGGACAAAUUAGAGGCAUUGCUUUGGUCAGACUGUCUAAAUAUUGGGCUACAGUAAAACCGACACUGUUUUUACUUUGUUCAGAGCAGAUCUGAAGAUGAAGAUGUUUUCUUAUCCCACAGAUAUCUCACUGUGGGAUAACUCUGCAAUGUAGAAGUAAAUUUGGGCACACUCGAUAACCUUGAAGCACAUGAUUAGUCAGAGACAUCUUGCAACGGAACAAUGAGUUGUCUGUUUUCUUCCACUUUUCCUUCACUUGCAGUUCCACAGGGGGACAGUUGGUUCAAUUCAUUUUGUGGCUAUAAUACCUUUGAGAGCUGUGCAUACAUUUUUUUUUUUCCAGCCAGCAAAAGUGAAGAUGAGGGAACUAUUUUUUUGUGAUUCUUUUGCUACACGGGGGUAUGAGAAAAUGAACUCUGUCUCUCUCUUUGUGCUUUAGACAUGAGAUAAAGACUGAUGCACAGCUUCAAGCAUCGCUUAUUUGGGCAUUCUGAAAAUGGAACGUUAAAAUAUUUCAUUAAAGAAAUGCCUCUGGAAAGUUUUCAAACAGGUGACCAGACAGGGAACACUGACAAUUUUGGCUUUGACCAAAAUGUCAAAGCCAGAAUAGAAUUGUGGGAGUUUUAUAUGUUACCAUAUAUAGGGAGUGAGUGGUGUCAAAUGAAGGACAGAUUGACAAGGAUGCCAAACUCUGAAGUUUGGUUUCUCCUCCGUUAAAUUCAUACUAGUAAAAAGUAAAAAAAAAAUAUGGCCUGUUUUUCAAGUGAGAGUUGCACAGCUUCAGCUUCCACACUUUCAGCUAUUUAAAAAGUAAAAUUACAAAAGGAAUGUUAUUCAUUGCUUUUGAUCUAAUUAAAUACUAGACUAGUAAAUAUGGUAGAUAAUUAACUUAUUUAUAAAAAAUGCACUAAGUUCUAAUGAAAAUUGCCUGUGUAACAGGAAACUAUUAUGUCAAGUCAGAAGAUCUUUAAGUUUUGAGGUAUGGUAAAUGGAUCUUGAUGCUGGAUUGUAAUAAAUAAAUAAAAUAAAUAAAUAAAAGAUCACCAAAGAAAAGAGUAUCAGAGUUGUGUAAUACUGGAUUUAAAGUGAAUUGUUCUUUUGUUUUUGCAGUGGGUAGUUACUUCUCAGAUUGAAAUUCAUGCUGUUGGUUUAUUUUUAUGUGAAAACAUCUGUUUAGCUCUUAUUUCCAUACUUUAACACACCGUGUGUAAUGCUGGUCGGCUAUGUUUUGGUUUUUCACAUGAUAAAUAUGUUUCAUUUUGAGAAUUUUUGUUUAUGAAAGCCAAGUUUUUGCACAGGAGAAUAACUUAUUCUAAAGACAAAUUUAACAUUUCAAUAUGUUUGUAGAGAAAAUCUGCAAUAAGUUAGUGACUUUCUUUGCAAAUGCAUUUCUAAAGAUGUUUUAGUUUGAUAUAUUUUUAUUCAAUAUGUGCCUUUAGGAUUUUUUUUCCCCACUGUCCCUUGUGCAUGCAUAGGAUGGGAUAAUGCAUUAAAUAAUCAAUACUUUCCUUUAAUUUCCUUUGAAUUAGAAAUGUAACUUCUAUUCCUUGUGAGUUUCUCUAAAACAAUAUUUGUUGAGAAAUGACAGUAUAUAAACAAACGGAAUAAAAUUUUAAACUAUG